AAUAUUGGCCAAUGGGAGUAAGCCUGACCCAGCCAACCCUGGUGGAGGAAGACACCCCUAUGGGGCGUAAACUCCUUGAAUAUGGGAAGAACACCUCCCUCAGGGAGAAGGGACGGUACCCAGGGAGUAGGCACCGGUUAAUUCCGUGCCACCAGCCGCGUUAAUCCGGAGGGUCCAAGCGUUUUCCGGAUUCAUGGGGGGUAAAGGGGGGCUAGGGGGGAUGCUAGUUCAGAGGUGAAGCCCACGGCUCAACCGGGGAACGACCUUUGAAACUGUAGGUCUAGAGUGUAGGAGAGGUAGGCGGAAAUCCCGGUGUAGCGGUGAAAUGCGUAGAUAUCGCGAAGAACUCUCAGAGGCGAAGGCGGCCUCCUGGCAGAGUACUGACGCUGAGGCACGAAAGCGUGGGGAGCAAACAGGAUUAGAUACCCCGGUAGUCCACGCCGUA
rnacentral:rRNA from 1 species